UGUAUUCCUUCAUUUAUUUAUUUCUGUGUCCGUAUGUUAGUGAGGUAGGCGGUCCGAACCUCAUUCUUAAGCAUGAUGGUCGAGUCGUGGAGCAAGACAGAAGCAAUCGAUUCCUAGCAAAUCAUCCCUGUGGACGACGUCAAAAAACUAGCUAGCAGCACUCAUGGCUUCGACCGGGCGGCCGCUGGCAGACCUGCUGCGGGAUGUGGCUGACCAGCUUGAGAGCUGUGAGUUUCUUCUGUUUCAACGUAUAAGCAGCAUAACAGCAGCAGUUGUUUAGCUAAAUACUGUUGGUCAAAGUACCAAUAUACUCUAUUAAACUGAACUAGGCAACCAUGCGGUGGACGGUAGGUUUCUGCAGGGAACACUUUUCCAUGCUAGAUCCCUUGUGUAGACUAAAUUACUAUCGCCGGUGAUGAGUGAUUUAUUUAUUCAUGCUGUGCGUCAGAUCGCAUUCCUGUAAAGUGUGCGAUGAUAUCGUUAGCCAACAUGUGUCUUCUGCAACGUCCUUAUUCUCUGAUUAUAGCUUAUCCUCUUCACUUGAUUCUAGCCGAGGUUUCAAGACCGUUUGGUCCAUAUAUUGGAGGGAGAAGGAGGCGAACUGUUGCUGCGCCUGCACGGCUUCAUUCGUACACUCACUCUUUCUGUUGUAUUGAGGACAAACCGAUAAGCCAGAGACAGACUUGCUGCUGCAGGACUAGGGGGGAAACGUCUUACAUUCCAAGGUAGUCAUACUGAUCCAGAUGACUUUAGAGAAUUUAUUUUAGAGGCAUAUCCAAAACUCAGACAAGGGGGAGGAUUUGAGUUGCUCAAAAUCUCUGGAACAACACGAAGUCGCCAACUGAUCAUCAUACCAUGUCCCAAUGAGGGUUACCAUGUGAGACAUUUGAAAGAUCCACAAACACAGAUUGGUCACGCUACAAUUUUCAUCCGACCACUCCAAAGAAUCCUGAAUCUGGAAACCUGUAAGAUCCUCACUUUUAAAUUGGUGUUCCCAUAUAAAAAUGGCAAGAGUAUGACCAUUUACACAAGUAUAGCUUGUGUUACAUUUUAAAAUGAUCUUGUUUACAGGCAUGUCAACCAGAAUGCAGUAAUGAGCUAGUUGGACCACCUCAGAAAUGUGACGUGUGGAGAGGAGUUCCCUCUUACAAGAAUCAAGGCUCACAGUGAUGAGUGCGUGAGGUAUCGCUCUACAGAACUAAAACGUCACAUUUGUCAAGCACUCAAGUAGUCGUACAUCAGACAUGAAGCAUUAGGCUCUGGAGUCUGCCAAAAGAUGUAAAGCAUGUUGAAUGUUUAUGAUCCUGAAUAUUGGUCUUGAGGGAAAGAUGAAUUUGAAUGGAUUUAUUGUAUUCUAUUGAUAUGACCAUUCUUUUCUAGUUGCAGUGUUUUUGUGAAUGUGUAAUAUAAAAUAUACUAGCCCCAAUAACAAAACGUGCUUCUCUUUACCCAAGACCAUCACAGAGCAGUGGUGAGGUAGAAAUUGCCUCCCGAAGUGAAGGUAGAUUUGUGAGCAUGUUGACAAGACUACAAGUGAGACAACAAGGGCCAGCAACACAAACUACUGCGUGCCACCUCUCAGGGACGUGUGGCUGCUCCUGAGAUAGUUGACCUGGAUCCCACUGAGGAGAGAGGCUUCCCAGUGAGGCAGCAAAGAGAUUCAAAGACGACAUUUUAAGCCGGCAUGCAACUGGAAAAUCAUUCUAUCUUACCAUGGAUCUUGGAGACAGUGCAGAGGACAGUUCUUUCUUUUUAUAAGAUGGCUAAUGUUGAGUGGGCUUGCCCCUUGACAUGCACACUCAAGGGAGAUCCAGCAAUUGGUGAUGGCGUGACUCGCCAUUUCUUUCCAAGCAUCAUGUCCAAACCUCAGUAUGGUAUUGAGAUGAAUUUUGUACCAGGAGGAACUCUUCUUUUUGAGGGAGAACAAGAUCAUCGGACUCCCUCCACUUGGCAUUACCUUUUGGAGAGUGACUUCUUUGUUGUUGCUGGCCGAAUGAUUGGUCAUUCCUCCAUAAUGGGCCAUGCCUUGGAGGACUCAGCCCAGCUAUCCUGCAUGUGCUCUUUGGUGGAUCCCCAGAAGAAGCCAUAAUAGAUAUUAAGGACUGUGCUGACCUUGACACAAAGUGGUAAAAUACAUUUUUCCAGUAAGAUCUUAAUGAUAAAAAUUCGGGGCAAGGACAAUAAAAGUAAUGCCUGAUGUCAGAAAUGUUUCUCAGAUAUUUAUAAUACCACAAUCACAUCAUUUACUAAUUUAAACCAGCAGGGGGUGCUGAAGCAAUAUUAAAACCAUAAACGUAAGUCCAUUUCUUUAAAACAUGUAAUUAUAGUGAUGGAUGUCAUCAUGUAAAAUGUGUUUUUAGAAUGUGCCCUCCCCUGAUUGGUCUAGACUCUAGAGUGUAAAAGGGCUUACAACACUAUGAUGGAAGUAUGUGAUGAUGUGGCAAUGAGCCAGUGUGAGUACCAGUACUCAGAAAACUUAAGCUGCUCAAUUGAAUAAAGCGAUCAUUGAUUCAAUUAUUUACACCUGUGCUUUUCCUACUCUGACAUGUGAAAAUGUAUGAAUGUAAAACUGCUUCGAAUGUGUCACAUAUUUGACAAAAUGAAAGGCAACACUUCAUAAAAAGACUCAUGUUCAUUAUUAAAUAACUCAUUUCUUUAUUACUCAUAAAAUAUACAGCAAUCUCAGUACUGAAAGAAUUCAUUGGAGCGUUGAAUUCACAGUAAUAAUUUCUAUAUACAUGCUAGUUUCAUCCCUCUUCAAGGAAAAGAAAAAAACAUCUUUUCCAUUCUAAAGAAGCUAGCAAAUGUAUUGUACAUAUUUCCAGUUAAAAGGAUAUUUCAACAGACAAAAGGGAAGAUUUGAAUCAUGGUAGGAUCGAGUGGUUUCUUUUUUUUUUAAGUUAAAGCAAGCAAAACCUGUCAACAAACAUUGACUAUAAGAGCAAAAAAUAUCAAACAAAAUCAAACGCUAUCCUAUCAUUGGUUUACAGUGUUUCUUCUCACAAAGCUGAGCGUCAGUACAGGAUCAGUGCUUCUUAGAAAUGUUCCAUUACUUACCUAGUGCGCAUCACUGUACUUUCACAGCUGCCUCAACAAACUCAUCUUUUCUCAGUAACUAAUGAAGGCACAAAAUGAACACAUAAAUAGGAAGCGAAAUUACACAAAUAAUUUAUUCUUCAAAGACUAAACCGCAAUGGACAGGUCAAUAUACAAAGGUAAGGUUGAUCAACUUAAAAAUAACCUGCCGCACAUAUCAAAUGUUUUUAAAUUAUUCAGGUCGCUAAAUCAGAUUUCUUACUGAGGGAUAACGAGUUUAAGACAUGAACAUGGGUGUAUUAAAAAUGUUUGAUCUCAAAAAAUAAAUGAUUUUCCGGCUGUAUGACUUACAGACUCGAAGGACAAGUGCAUUCUGACGGAUGUAGUGUGCGGACAUCAACCUUCUCUAACUCAUCAAGAAAUCCCCAAAAUGAACCCCC